UCCCGCCUCGCCCGCCCCCCCCCGCCCCGUUCAACUCGGCAACAAGGUUCUAGUAGAGGCUGUGGCCGUGUGUGCGUGUGUCCGUGUGUGUCUAGUGAAGUGCGAGACGAGAUUCUGUUACUGGUGUGUGAGAAGGCGUCGCAGAGAGAGAGAGAGAGAGAGAGAGAGAGAGAGAGAGAGAGAGAGCUACAGUGGCAAGCAAAAUAGUGAACACACAUUUUCUAACACACGAGUGACAAUAAAGAAGAAAACGUGAACUUAGAAGAGGAUUGGAACCUGUUACGAAGCGAAUCCAACCCUAUUAAUUUGGAAUUUGAACCUACUAAACAGAAAACAACUUAUGAAACAAUCUGAAAACGAAAAAAAGAACUAAAUUAAGUGUUAAAAAAAGAGGAUCAGAACGCUUUUGAAGACGUCCAGGUGAGCGAAAGGGCAUCAGAACUCAUUACAGAAAGGUGUUCAAAACUAAAGGUAAAUUCUCUUCACUCUACGAAUAUAAAAAGAAAAAAAUAGUGACAAAGCAUUUUUCAUUGUGACUUCAUAUUACAGUAACGUUGAACAGAAAAAAUAAAUAAAUAAAAAACGGGAGUGAGUGAAAGUGAAAGGAACAGACGCGAAGUGAGUGAAGAAUUGUGGAAACUGAAGAAGAUUGUGAGAUACGAAGAA